UCUCAGUCGUUCACUCCUGGCGGAGUGGU
rnacentral:sRNA from 1 species